AGCAUGACGAGUCCCAAAUAGGACGAAACGCGCGUCCUGGAU
rfam:Schistosoma rodhaini strain Burundi genome assembly, scaffold: SROB_scaffold0000055